UACGGAGGAUGCGAGCGUUAUUCGGAUUUAUUGGGUUUAAAGGGUGCGUAGGCGGCUUAGUAAGUCAGCGGUGAAAUUUUGCAGCUUAACUGUAACAGUGCCGUUGAUACUGCCAGGCUAGGAUUUGGUCGCUGUGGGUGGAAUGUGUGGUGUAGCGGUGAAAUGCUUAGAUAUCACACAGAAUAUCGAUUGCGAAGGCAGCUCACAAAGCCAAGAUUGACGCUGAGGCACGAAAGUGUGGGGAUCAAACA
rnacentral:rRNA from 1 species